rnacentral:tRNA from 1 species
GGCGUAUUGGUUGAGAGGUAAAGCGUUUGGCUUCUGAACCAGAUGUCCCGGGUUUGAAUCCUGUGAUUUUUUA